GGGUUGUGAGGUUAAGCGACUAAGCGUACACGGUGGAUGCCCUGGCAGUCAGAGGCGAUGAAGGACGUGCUAAUCUGCGAUAAGCGCCGGUAAGGUGAUAUGAACCGUUAUAACCGGCGAUUUCCGAAUGGGGAAACCCAGUGUGAUUCGUCACACUAUCAUUAACUGAAUCCAUAGGUUAAUGAGGCGAACCGGGGGAACUGAAACAUCUAAGUACCCCGAGGAAAAGAAAUCAACCGAGAUUCCCCCAGUAGCGGCGAGCGAACGGGGAGGAGCCCAGAGCCUGAAUCAGCAUGUGUGUUAGUGGAAGCGUCUGGAAAGGCGCGCGAUACAGGGUGACAGCCCCGUACACAAAAGCGCAUAUGCUGUGAGCUCGAUGAGUAGGGCGGGACACGUGGUAUCCUGUCUGAAUAUGGGGGGACCAUCCUCCAAGGCUAAAUACUCCUGACUGACCGAUAGUGAACCAGUACCGUGAGGGAAAGGCGAAAAGAACCCCGGCGAGGGGAGUGAAAAAGAACCUGAAACCGUGUACGUACAAGCAGUGGGAGCACCCUUUGGGGUGUGACUGCGUACCUUUUGUAUAAUGGGUCAGCGACUUAUAUUCUGUAGCAAGGUUAACCGAAUAGGGGAGCCGGAGGGAAACCGAGUCUUAAUUGGGCGUUAAGUUGCAGGGUAUAGACCCGAAACCCGGUGAUCUAGCCAUGGGCAGGUUGAAGGUUGGGUAACACUAACUGGAGGACCGAACCGACUAAUGUUGAAAAAUUAGCGGAUGACCUGUGGCU
rnacentral:rRNA from 1 species